CUACGGGCCGCACCAGUAAGGAAUAUUGCGCAAUGGAGGCAACUCUGACGCAGCCAUGCCGCGUGCAGGAAGAAGGCCUUAUGGGUCGUAAACUGCUUUUAUUUAGGAAUAAACCCCCGAACGUGUUCGGGGCUGAAGGUACUAAACGAAUAAGCACCGGCUAACUCCGUGCCAGCAGCCGCGGUAAUACGGAGGGUGCAAGCGUUAUCCGGAUUUAUUGGGUUUAAAGGGUGCGCAGGCGGGCUAUUAAGUCAGUGGUGAAAUCCCGGGGCUCAACUCCGGAACUGCCAUUGAUACUGAUAGUCUUGAGUUUGGUUGAAGUGGGCGGAAUGUAGCAUGUAGCGGUGAAAUGCAUAGAUAUGCUACAGAACACCAAUCGCGAAGGCAGCUCACUAAGCCAAGACUGACGCUCAUGCACGAAAGCGUGGGGAUCAAACAGGAUUAGAUACCCGCGUAGUC
rnacentral:rRNA from 1 species